ensembl:misc_RNA 7SK 7SK RNA
AGAUGUGAGGGUGAUCUGGCUGCAACAUCUGUCACCCCACUGACCACCAGGGUUGAUUCACCUGAUCUGGCUGGCACCCCCUUCCUCCCUCACCACCGCUCCCUGUGCGUCCCUUCCAAGGCUGUGUGCUUGGUGGAAGAGGACAGCCUUCCACGAAUAGAGACAGGCCACGAGUAGCUGCGCUCCCUUGCUAAAACCUCCAAACAAGCUCUAAAGAAUAGAGAACCUUCCAAUAAAGGGGAUAGGAUACAGAACUAUGGUGGUGGGAAUUGUAUGGAAUUGUACCUCUCUU